rnacentral:rRNA from 1 species
CAGCCGCCACGGUAAUACGAAGGGGGCUAGCGUUGUUCGGAUUUACUGGGCGCAAAGGGCGCGUAGGCGGACUGAUAAGUCAGGGGUGAAAUCCCAAGGCUCAACCUUGGAACUGCCUUUGAUACUGUUUGUCUUGAGUUCGAGAGAGGUAAGUGGAACUGCGAGUGUAGAGGUGAAAUUCGUAGAUAUUCGCAAGAACACCAGUGGCGAAGGCGGCUUACUGGCUCGAAACUGACGCUGAGGCACGAAAGCGUGGGGAGCAAACAGGAUUAGAUACCCCCGUAGUCCCUGUCUCUUAUAC